GUGAGGGUAGCAUGGGCUGACACAGAAGGAUCUCAGGGGCUUGCUGGCCAGACAGUCUAGAGUUGGUGCAGGAUUGGAGAGAUGGCUUAGAAAGUAAAAGCGCUUGCUACACAUGCCUGAAAUCUGGAGUUUGAUCCCUGGAUUCCACAUGGAAGGAAAGAACCAUAUCCUAAAAGUAUCCUCUGGCCUCUACACAAAUGCUGUGGCAUAUACAUGCAUACACACCAAUCAUAAAUAAAAUACGAAGACAUUUUACAACACUGGAUGCUGACCCCAGACCUGUACACAAGUGCAGACACAUGCCAACACAUACACAUGUAUACAACACAUACAGAGUCAAACUCAGAAUCAAAGUAGGUUAAAGGUUACUAGGGGGUGUUGUAAGGUACAGAGUUUCUGUUUGGGGUGAUGAAAAGAAUGACCGGUGAUGGUUUCACAAUAUUGGGAGGGAGUGUACUUAAUGCCACUUAGGAACAUUUAAAUGUCUAAAGCAGUAUAUUUUAUCAUACACGUAUGCAUGUAUACUUUUAUAAGAAGUGAAAAAUCAACAGAAACAGCUUGAUCAGACAGAUGUAUCGGAGCGGCCAGCCAGCCAAGGGCAGCCAGCCAGCUGGAGUCACCUUUCCGAGUCCUGAGUCCCAAGUCCCUCUGAGGUCUUCCUCCCUUCCUCAGUUGCAGUGUCCUUCCUCGAUCCUCAGCUGGAUUUCUGGGAGUGAUUCCAUCAGCCUCUCAGCCAAGGGCUCUGAGAGGUCCAGUAAGGAGACAGUUUAAGAAAGAGGCUCUGCUACCUCACAGCCUGAAACUACUCAGUCUAGUCUUCAAUAUACACAAUGCUUUGGAGGACUCAUUCUUCAUUCACUCGCCUUGGAUGUAAGGAGUGGUGACGAAAACGCCUGGGCAUAAUGAAGCAUGGAGGUCUGAGGUGCACUGGAAGCACAUCUGUGUAUUCACAGCACACAGCAAACCUUCUAACUACCUUCUAACUAGUCUAACAGCAAAGAGUCAACAACAGAGUACAACCGGUACACAUUAACCAGCAGCUGAAGGAAGGAUGGAACCUCCGAGCAGGAACAGCAUUCUGUAACAAGGUGAAGACAAAAGGACGAGUUCCUUAGAGCAUAAAGAGCACACUAAUGAAUGCUUCCUGAGUUAUCUCUAAAAAUAAAUCCCCUGGACUUUAAAGAGAAAUUACAGCAAAAUUUAAUGUACAACAUCUGUUUUGGAGUUUGUAUACCUUUUUAAUUUCUGGAGACUUGAAGGUUUGUGAGCACCUGGAAUAAAUCAAUUUCUAAAAAGAAUAGCAUUAUGGGUCUAUGAGCGGUGAGCCUUCCUCAUGUGAAAAGAGCAAAAGCCUUGCUCACCUUGAACGCCCAUUGUGAAGGCAGGAGGCUGAGCAGCCAGAAGGCACAGACCCUCAUCUGCAGGCAUCAACAUUACAUUUCUCCAGCUAUGAAUUGCAAGGGUUUAGACUGAAGCCACACACUGGCUGUAAGAUUUUAUAUUUAGAAUACCUUAAUGAAUAAAUCUAUGUCUUUAUAAGAAGUCAGAUUUGAAAGCUGGAAAGAGAAAAUUUCCCAAGGAAUAAAAAGUCCUGUUAGUAUUACAGAGCUCGCCUUUCCACUCUAGCCCUCUGGACAAAGAGUUAAUUCUGAGCUGCCUUAGACAGGGGCCUAGUUUUCUGUAGCUGCUGUAACACGUGACUACAGACUCACAGGCUGCAACCAUGGACAUUUAUAAUCCUGCAGUUCUGAAGGUGAGGCGUGGAGAAGCAGCAAGGCAAGCGGGGUGUACUCUGCCUGUGGACAGGGAGGAGGCUGCUCCCUGGCCUUCUCCCUACAAGGUCUCUGCGGUGUUGGAGGCGGUUCCCUUACUCCAUCCUCAAAUGCUCCAUGUCUCUGUUCUUUCCUACAUCAAUUUUACCUGUUACUGUGUAUUCUUGUGUGCAUGCCUGUGGAGACUGGAAGUGGACAGAUGGCAGGAGCCUUCCUGAGUUGCUCUCCAUCUUAUUUCUUAGGACAUUGUCUCAUUAAACCUACACCUGGAAGAUGUGGCCAGACUGGACACCAAGGCCAGGGGCCCUCAUCUCUGCCUCUCCAGACUCACACCACCACAGGUGGCUUUUCCUGUGAGUGCUGGGAUCAGAAUUGAAGUCCUGGUCUUGUACAAUAAUACCUUUAGCAAAUAAGUCAAAUGUUGCCUCUUUCACCAUUCCUUUGUAGUCACGGUCUCUCCUCCUUUUAAGAAACAAGCAGGGCCCAGCUGGGUUCUGGAGGAAGAACCCAGCCUCGCUUCAGUCUUCCACUUUACUCACACCCUCUGCCUAUAAAGCCCAUACACGGCCUUUUCAUCACUCAAUGCAGACACCCUGUCAUCUGAACAAAGCCACGAGUCUCUCCCUAGACCAAUCUGCAGGCUCCUUCAUUCCAUACUUAGGGUUCUCCUUUUGUUCUGUCUGUUCUUUCUCUCCAUCAUCCAGUUGGAAAACCAUGUUCUAAUCUGACAGAUAAGUAAAAUCUAACAUUUCUCUGAAAAUGCCUUCAGCAUGUCAGAGAACACACUGGGGUACUUACUUCAUUUGCUCUCCUCUUCCUCCUUUUUUUUUAAAUUUAUUUUUUAUUUUUAUUUAUUUAUUUAUUUUUGGUUUUUCAAAACAGCAUUUCUCUGUGUAACCCUGAACUCACUUUGUAGACCAGGCUGGUUUUGAGCUCACAGAGAUGCACCUGGCUUUUCAAUUCCAUAACACAUUAAAACUGCAAGAAAAUAAUACGCACAGCACACUUUCUUUGUCCUCGAGAAUCACUGAAAAGUUCUCUCUAAAAUGACAGUAAGGCUUUGAAACUGUGAGCAGCACGCUAUAAAUGCUGAAGACUGUGCGGGCAUCAUGUUCCUUAGCAGACAGUGUGCAAAUGCACAGCAACUUCCACAGACUCUAACAUACACUACAUGAGGAUGUGUGCUCUCCCCACCCCAUAACCUCCACAGACUCUAACAUACACUACAUGAGGAUGUGUGCUCUCCCCACCCCAUAACCUCCACAGACUCUAACAUACACUACAUGAGGAUGUGUGCUCUCCCCAUCCCAUAACUUCCACAGACUCUAACAUACACUACAUGAGGAUGUGUGCUCUCCCCAUCCCAUAACUUCCACAGACUCUAACAUACACUAUGUAAGGUGUGCUCUCCCCACCCCAUAAAGCUGCCACGAUGCUCCAGAUAAUGAAUAAAUGCGUCGUCCACAAAGUUCUCCUCGUGUUCACUUAGAAUUCCUUCUUUCACAGCUCAGGACUCCAAGCAGUCUCUGAUCUGCUUGCUGUGUGGCUUAGGCUGCCUACCUUCAAGCUCCAUUGACUCCUGUCAACUAGUCCCACUGUUUUCUUUUACUUUACUUCACAAAAAUUUGCUGCAUACAAAGCUACAAAGAUUUUCUUCUAAAAUUUUAAUAAAUUUGUGUUUUACAGAUAAUUCUAUGAUCACCUGGGCUGGCUUUUUGAGAGCCCAUAAGAGUCUUUGUGCUCACAGAUGCAGUAGAGGAACCCAGACCGUUAAGUUGUUGUUAAGGGUUGUUCCAGCAAGGGAAAGAAUGCAAAACCCAUUUUCUACCCAGACGACUGGAGUGCAUGUGCUUUCUCGCCUGAUGACCUCCGUCUAUCGGUGGGGACUGUUAGCACUUGUGGACACCCUCAUAAACUUGUAUUCUCAGUCAGUCUAGAGAACCUCAGUACUUUAUAAAGAGCUUCAACGUAGUUGCACCUGAUCAGUACUUAGUUUGUUCCCCAGAGAUCUAAUUAUGCUUUGUUAUCGUGGGAUUGAAUUAAUCAUCACCAGAUUGUGCUAUGCUUAAAUAAGACUAAAAUAAACCUCUCGGGGUCAGACUCCCAAUAUCUGAACCCAUGUGUGCUACUGAGCCAUCUUGCACCAAACUGCCUUGCCUCCGGAGGCUUUUUCCUCUUUUCUGCCCUCUGCUGGUGGGAUUAGUCCUCAAGGGUUAAAGAAUCUAGUGCUGUUUGGCAGCCAGGAAUUACUCAUAUCUCACAAUUGAGACGAUUAAAGUACAACCAUGUAUGGCUGAUACUUCUUCUAAUAUGAUUAUUGCUCCUGCUCACAAGGGUAAACCACCUCAGAUGUCUUUAAUAAUUUGUUAAACAUCUCCUUUCUAGGACUCUCACUACAACUAAACUUUUGUUGGCUGGGCAGUGGUGGCACAGGCCUUUAAUCCCAGCACUCUGGAGGGAGAGUUUGAGGCCAGCC